rnacentral:rRNA from 1 species
GACGAACGCUGGCGGCGUGCUUAACACAUGCAAGUCGAACGGAAAGGCCCUGCUUUUGUGGGGUGCUCGAGUGGCGAACGGGUGAGUAACACGUGAGUAACCUGCCCUUGACUUUGGGAUAACUUCAGGAAACUGGGGCUAAUACCGGAUAGGAGCUCCUGCUGCAUGGUGGGGGUUGGAAAGUUUCGGCGGUUGGGGAUGGACUCGCGGCUUAUCAGCUUGUUGGUGGGGUAGUGGCUUACCAAGGCUUUGACGGGUAGCCGGCCUGAGAGGGUGACCGGCCACAUUGGGACUGAGAUACGGCCCAGACUCCUACGGGAGGCAGCAGGGGGGAAUAUUGCACAAUGGGCGGAAGCCUGAUGCAGCAACGCCGCGUGUGGGAUGACGGCCUUCGGGUUGUAAACCGCUUUCGCCUGUGACGAAGCGUGAGUGACGGUAAUGGGUAAAGAAGCACCGGCUAACUACGUG